CUAACACAUGCAAGUACGCACGGUCGGCAACGGCAGUGGCGGACGGGUGAGGAACGCGUAGGAACGUGUCCUGAGGUGGGGAAUAACCCUGGGAAACUGGGGCUAAUACCGCAUGGGAGCUGAGGCUCAAGCCGAAAGGCGCCUUGGGAGCGGCCUGCGUCCGAUUAGGUAGUUGGUGGGGUAACGGCCUACCAAGCCUACGAUCGGUAGCUGGUCUGAGAGGACGACCAGCCACACUGGGACUGAGACACGGCCCAGACUCCUACGGGAGGCAGCAGUGGGGAAUAUUGGACAAUGGGCGCAAGCCUGAUCCAGCAAUGCCGCGUGUGUGAAGAACG
rnacentral:rRNA from 1 species